rnacentral:misc_RNA from 1 species
GAUGAAGAACGCGGCGAAAUGCGAUAAGUAAUGUGAAUUGCAGAAUUCAGUGAAUCAUCGAAUCUUUGAACGCACAUUGCGCCCGCCAGUAUUCUGGCGGGCAUGCCUGUUCGAGCGUCAUUUCAACCAUCAAGCCCCCGGCUUGUGUUGGGGACCUGCGGCUGCCGCAGGCCCUGAAAACCAGUGGCGGGCUCGCUAGUCACUCCGAGCGUAGUAAUACAUCUCGCUCAGGGCGUGCUGCGGGUUCCGGCCGUUAAAAAGCCUUAUUUACCCAAGGUUGACCUCGGAUCAGGUAGGAAGACCCGCUGAACUUAAGCAUAUCAAUAAGCGGAGGA